ensembl:lncRNA
CUCAGUGCAAGAUACCACUUCUCCUAGCAAGUCUCCUGCUCUGCCUAUAGCUGGGUGGAGCAAGAACUCACCCUCAUCAAGUCUGCAGCUGACACCAAACUGGGGACAGCCAUCAUCAUGGACUGCCACUCAGAGGAACAUGGGCAGCUGGAGGAAUGGGCCAACAGGAACCUUAUAAAAUUUGCCAGUAGUUUGCUCUGGCAGCAGUGAAGAUCAAAAGCCUGAUACAGCCUGGGCUAUAUCAACAGGAGCACAGACAGCGUAUUGAGGGGUGUGAUUAUGAUUUGUGUAGGUGUAUGGGGAAAGAAGGCAAAGUGCACCAGCUCUUGAACGCUGAACAACGACACAGGAGCAAUAAUUGAGGACCGAGAAGGAAGAGAACAUUCUAUUAUAAGCCUGAGUGAAAUUUACACAUCUUGAGAGCUGUGGUAAUCACAGAUAGUUCACGAUUCCCAGGAGCUGCCUCAUAGUAUUCUGGUCUUGCUGAUGAUGACCUCUCAAGUUUAAAAGGGGUUAUGGUGCUGUCUGUGCAUUUGUAAUGGAGAGGAAUACCGUCGUCAUAAAAGAGAUCCCCAUUUUUUGUCUUUCUGUUUAACGUGACUCAUCUGGGUAGAAGAGAAAGGUGUCCACUUUUCACUUCUGAAUUAGUCUUUAGAGAGUUGUGGAUGUGUGUGGUAGAGGGAGGCUGCCUCUUUUUUCCUUCACUUAUAAUGCAUACUUUAUGGUAGCAAAAUUCCCUGUUCGCAAUACAAAUCACAAAUCCCUGAUCACAGUAAAAAGACUUCUAGGAAACAUUCUUAUGUCAAGUUUCACAUGUUCAAAAAGGCUUUCUCGGCACAAAACAAUUCUUAA